GCUCCUCCACAAUUACUGCAGAGUCAGAAGUGGAAUUUCCGCCUGAUGUUUUAUGUCAGAAUCAGUAUGAAAGACUGCAGCAUGCUGAGUGAGCUUUCCGUUCUCGCUGAGAUGCGAUGCAGGGUCCACCCUCUGCAGGCCACAGUUUUGCCUGGAGGCAAAGCAUUCAGUCUUUCCAUUGGCCUGACAAUUUGAGCCAAGCUUGAGGCCAACAGACAAAAUGACUAGAGAGGGGCUGCCUGGUGGCCCUCCCUGUGAGAAGGUAUUCUUCCUGCUCCGUUGACAUCAGGCUUAUUAGCCAUGUUUCUGGAUUUGGUCCAUUUUAUUGUAAAGAGAACAUGGAGCAGGGCUGCAGCUGAUCUUCAAAGGGCGUGAACACAAGCCAGAGAGAAGCCGUUAUUGUUGUAAGCCCUGAAGAUUUGGGGGAUAUUAUUGCAACACAACUCAGCCCAAACAGACUAAUACAACAAGUUUCUAUGUAUACAUGGAAAUGUAUGUAAUCUUAGCCUC
rnacentral:lncRNA from 1 species